AGUGAACGCUGGCGGUAGGCCUAACACAUGCAAGUCGAACGGCAGCACAGUAAGAGCUUGCUCUUACGGGUGGCGAGUGGCGGACGGGUGAGGAAUACAUCGGAAUCUACUUUUUCGUGGGGGAUAACGUAGGGAAACUUACGCUAAUACCGCAUACGACCUACGGGUGAAAGCAGGGGAUCUUCGGACCUUGCGCGAUUGAAUGAGCCGAUGUCGGAUUAGCUAGUUGGCGGGGUAAAGGCCCACCAAGGCGACGAUCCGUAGCUGGUCUGAGAGAAUGAUCAGCCACACUGGAACUGAAACACGGUCCAGACUCCUACGGGAGGCAGCAGUGGGGAAUAUUGGACAAUGGGCGCAAGCCUGAUCCAGCCAUACCGCGUGGGUGAAGAAGGCCUUCGGGUUGUAAAGCCCUUUUGUUGGGAAAGAAAAGCAGCAGGUUAAUACCCCGCUGUUCUGACGGUACCCAAAGAAUAAGCACCGGCUAACUUCGUG
rnacentral:rRNA from 1 species